CACUGUGCUCUCUGCUAACGUUGGCCUUAUCUUUGGCCACAACACAUGCAGCAAACUUCGAGAUCGUCAACAAUUGCCCCUACACGGUGUGGGCCGCGGCGAGUCCGGGUGGAGGCCGGCGUCUGGACCGUGGCCAAACGUGGAACCUCUGGGUGAACCCGGGCACUGCCAUGGCCCGUAUAUGGGGCCGCACCGGGUGCAACUUUGAUGGCAGCGGCCGCGGCCGCUGCCAAACGGGAGACUGCACGGGCGGCCUCAAUUGCCAAGGCUGGGGGGUCCCUCCCAACACACUUGCGGAAUUCGCGUUGAACCAAUUUGGCAACCAGGAUUUCUACGACAUCUCUUUGGUGGACGGGUUCAACAUUCCGAUGGACUUCUACCCUCUAAACGGUGGGUGUCACAAAAUCAGUUGCAGCGCUGAUAUCAAUGGGCAGUGCCCGGGGCCAUUAAGGGCACCUGGGGGAUGCAACAACCCCUGCACUGUGUUUAAGACGAAUGAGUAUUGCUGCACCAAUGGGCAAGGAAGCUGUGGGCCCACAAACUACUCAAGGUU
rnacentral:lncRNA from 1 species